UACGGGGGGAGCAAGCGUUGUUCGGAUUUACUGGGCGUAAAGCGUGCGCAGGCGGUUCGUUAAGUCAGAUGUGAAAGCCCCGGGCUCAACCUGGGAACUGCAUUUGAAACUGGCGGGCUUGGGUACUGGAGGGGAAAGCGGAAUUCCUGGUGUAGCGGUGAAAUGCGUAGAUAUCAGGAGGAACACCGGUGGCGAAGGCGGCUUUCUGGACAGUAACUGACGCUGAGGAGCGAAAGCGUGGGGAGCGAACAGG
rnacentral:rRNA from 1 species